rfam:Canis lupus familiaris chromosome 27, whole genome shotgun sequence.
GGGAAGAGCGCAGGAGCAUGGGCUGUGUCCCCCGGCGCCCCGGGAUCUGGGACCUGCGCUGCUGGAAUCACGCCCCGGGGCGCAGCUCCC